GUCCUAUUGUAUUAUUUAAUAGGUCUGGCCUGCCCAGUGAUAAUUUCAACGGCCGCGGUAUAUUGACCGUGCAAAGGUAGCAUAAUCAUUAGUCUUUUAAUAGGAGGCUGGAAUGAAAGGUUUAACGAGAAAUUGACUGUCUCAAUUGCAAUCUUGAAUUUAUCUUUUGAGUCAAAAGACUUAAAUGUAUUUGGUGGACGAGAAGACCCUAUAGAGCUUGACAAUUAUUUUUUUUCUAUUUACUUAGUUAAAUUAUUUAUUUAAAUUAAAAAUAUUGUUUUGUUGGGGUGACAAUAAAUAUAUACUUAACUUUUAUUAUAAUAUUAACAUUAAUAUAUGAUUUUUGGAUCCAAAACUUUUUGAUCAUUAGAUUAAGUUACC
rnacentral:rRNA from 1 species